rnacentral:rRNA from 1 species
UACGUAGGAGGCGAGCGUUGUCCGGAAUUACUGGGCGUAAAGAGCGCGUAGGUGGCAGUGUACGACCUGUGUGAAAGCCCCCGGCUCAACUGGGGAGGGUCAUGGGUAACGGCAGUGCUAUGAGUGCAGGAGAGGGACGUGGAACUCCGGGAGUAGCGGUGAAAUGCGUAGAGACCCGGAGGAAGCACCAGUGGCGAAGGCGGCGUCCUGGCCGUGCGACUGACGCUGUGGCGCGAAAGCGUGGGGAGCGAUCCGG